rnacentral:tRNA from 1 species
GUAAAUUAGAUGAAGUGGUCGAUGCUUUGGUCUUUUCUUGACUAGACAAGAUUCAACUAUUUUGGAUAUCUCUGGUUCCAAGGCCAGGAUUUUGCG